AAAAAACAAAACAAAACAAAACAAAACUCUCAUAGCUCUCACCUUAGCUGGUAGUUUAGGACGCGUGUAUUUUUACGUGUGUAUUAUUUCUAACGCCGUGAGAGAACAGAACGCGGCGAUUUAUUAAACUCGGAUGAUCUCCAAUCCUAUUAAACAUUAGGAUCUCCAUUAUCUGCUAUAUAAGCUUCAAUAAUAUCGCCGCGUUC
rnacentral:misc_RNA from 1 species